rnacentral:rRNA from 1 species
CCUACGGAGGCAGCAGUGGGGAAUAUUGGACAAUGGGCGAAAGCCUGAUCCAGCCAUGCCGCGUGUGUGAAGAAGGCCUUCGGGUUGUAAAGCACUUUCAGUGGGGAAGAAAGCCUUGGGGCUAAUACCCUCGAGGAAGGACAUCACCCACAGAAGAAGCACCGGCUAACUCCGUGCCAGCAGCCGCGGUAAUACGGAGGGUGCGAGCGUUAAUCGGAAUUACUGGGCGUAAAGCGCGCGUAGGCGGUCUGAUAAGCCGGUUGUGAAAGCCCCGGGCUCAACCUGGGAACGGCAUCCGGAACUGUCAGGCUAGAGUGAAGGAGAGGAAGGUAGAAUUCCCGGUGUAGCGGUGAAAUGCGUAGAGAUCGGGAGGAAUACCAGUGGCGAAGGCGGCCUUCUGGACUGACACUGACGCUGAGGUGCGAAAGCGUGGGUAGCAAACAGGAUUAGAUACCCGGGUAGUC